AUUGAACGCUGGCGGCAUGCCUUACACAUGCAAGUCGAACGGCAGCACGGGAGCAAUCCUGGUGGCGAGUGGCGAACGGGUGAGUAAUAUAUCGGAACGUGCCCAGUCUGGGGGAUAACGUAGCGAAAGCUACGCUAAUACCGCAUACGAUCUAUGGAUAGAAAGGCGGGGGAGUCGCAAGACCUCGCGCGAUUGGAGCGGCCGAUAUCAGAUUAGGUAGUUGGUGAGGUAAGGCUCACAAGCCGACGAUCUGUAGCUGGUCUGAGAGGACGACCAG
rnacentral:rRNA from 1 species